rnacentral:rRNA from 1 species
GUCGAGAAUCUUUCACAAUGGGGGCAACCCUGAUGGAGCGACGCCGCGUGGAGGAUAAGGUCUUCGGAUUGUAAACUCCUGUCAUGCGUGAACAAGGUUGCUUGGAUAAUACCUGAGCAAAUUGAUGGUAGCGCAAGAGGAAGAGACGGCUAACUCUGUGCCAGCAGCCGCGGUAAUACAGAGGUCUCAAGCGUUGUUCGGAAUCACUGGGCGUAAAGGGUGCGUAGGUGGCGUGGCAAGUCAGAUGUGAAAGCCCGGGGCUCAACCUCGGAACUGCAUCCGAUACUGCCAUGCUAGAGUACUGGAGAGGUGACUAGAAUUCUCGGUGUAGCAGUGAAAUGCGUAGAUAUCGAGAGGAAUACCAAAGGCGUAGGCAGGUCACUGGACAUUUACUGACACUGAGGCACGAAGGCCAGGGGAGCGAACGGGAUUAGAUACCCCUGUAGUCC